CCUGCCCUUUGCUCAACAUCCAUUUAAUUUCCUUGGAUAGGACAUUAAACAAUCCGAGUGAUUUACUAACAGUACUAUCAAGGUAAACUAAAACUGACCUUUCCUUUUCUCCCUUAUGUUAAAAGUACUCCCAUGCAUCUUUUUUUGACUCAAAAUUCACAAAAAAAUCCUAAACUAACAUGCUUACAAAUCAUACCACAAUCGAAUAAACUACAUAAAGCGAUAACUUUAUUGAUAAAAGAAAGAAAGCAACAAAUGGAUAAAUUGAAUAUUUAAAGAAUAAGACUACAAAAAUUGUCUACAAGCACAGAGAAAUUGCUAGUCAUGUAAAUAUAUAAGUGUUCCACAUAAACAAACAUCAAUUCAUGGAAUUAGCAACAUUGGCCAUUUCAAAUCAAGCAUGAGAUCUAGUGUUCCUUGAGAUGAAGAAGUGAGAAACGAAAGCCCUAAAUAUGAAUCAAAAUCAAGGGUUUAAUCCCAAAAUCCAAAGUGUCAAGAAAACCUAAAGUCGUGAAAAAGAGAAAGACUGUGGGUGAAAAGAAAAGAGAGCAGACGACACUAGGGCUCACCAAAACGCGAUGGGUCGACAAAACUAGAUCUCGAUAGAGCUAGGACUCGCUAGCGUGAAGGCUCGACAGUGCCAGGACUGGACUGCGAGAGGACUGGACUGCAAGAAGGUUCGACUGCGAGAGAACUGGACGGCGAGAGGCCUUCACGGUGCGAGGGCUCCAGGAUGAUGGAAAUGGAUUUGAAAAAAUAUGAAUGAAAUGGGAAGGUGUCAGGGUGGGUAAGUUCACCAAAUGGGGAAAAGUGAAAAAUUACAAAGAAAUUAGAAAUAAAGGAGUAUAUGUAAAACAGAGGAAUACCAAAAUAAAAAAUAAGAGGGAAAUAAAACAUUAGAUGUAAAGAAAAACUAAUAAUUUAUUAUAAAAAUGACAUUUUAAAAUAUAAUAUAUUUUUAUUAAUAGUGUGAAAGUUAAAAUAAUGAAAGUUAAAAAUGUCAUAUUAUACAUGUAAAUUAUGGUAAUUAAUAAAUUGUCAUAUUAUAUUAUAAAUUUCGACAUGGUUUAAGAAUGUUUUAAUAAAAAUGCAACCAAUGUUUUUAUAGUGUUUUAACACCAAUUUUUCACACCAUUAUUAUGAUAUAUUUAACACUAAUUUUUCACACCGUUAUUAUGAUAUAUUUAACACUAAUUUUUCACACUAUUAUUAUGAUAUAGACUCUUCAUCUUCUAUAAUCAAACUAAAUCACAACUAUAUAUGAUAUAGACUCUUCAUCUCCUGCAGUCUAGUCUUAUUUGUUCAUGCCAUAUUAAUAAUCAUUACAAAGAAAAACAAACAAAAAAAAUAAGCUCAUAAUAACUUUGAGAAAUCUUAUCAUAAAUUAAAUAAAACCAAAUAAGGAUCCAACAAUCACCAUUACUAAUUGAGAAAUGAUGGACAAAUUGCAGGAACAUUACUUAAAAUAAGCACAGGCACCCAAAAAACCGUUAACCUAAAUCUCCAACACCUUUUCCAACCCAGUUCAAGAAUUAUCAAGGUAAUACAAAUUAGAGUGAGGGUCCUAGAUCUAUUUUGCCUUUAUUCCUAGAACACUAGGUGCAGCUAGCAUCAACCCAAAAAUUUAAGAAUAAUAGUAAGCAUCAAUUCAAACAACAAGAGGACCUUCACAUAGUAAAACAUAAAUAAAUAGGGAGAAUAUUAUUAUUAGGCAUAAAAAUUGGUGGGGGCGAAGAGAACACAAAUCGCACUAUAAAAAAUGAGAAAAUCAAUGAUAUGAGAAUCAGAAUUAGACACUUACAGUGACCACAAGACGCGAUUAGGGUUUCUUAGUAAGAGAAAGUGGGUGUCAAACGGUGUGGCUUUGCUUGAACACGGAACGAUUAGAGUUCUCUGGCAAUGUAUGCAAAACAAAACAGAGGCGAGAAUUGAGUGAGC
rnacentral:lncRNA from 1 species